AGCAGCAAAGCCGCCUGGCUAAUGCUGGCCGGACUCGCACCGAGACCAGCCACCGAGCCAAGGUGGGGCAAGCAGCAAAGCCGCCUGGCUAAAUGCUGGCUGACCCGCACCGAGACCAGCCACCGAGCCAAGCUGGAGCUCCGCCUCAUCUAAUCAGCUUUCUGUCAUUGUCUGGACCUCCCUCUGGACACUUCCUCCCACACCGUACAGUGCAUUGUCUUUAUAAGUACAUAUAUACCUUGCUAAUAUGCUGCAGGCUUCUGACAUGCCCACAUCACUUCUCCAGCCCAUGAUGUUGUACAUCUUGUAUACUCUGAGUGUUCAAGCAGUCGCCAUGAGAUAUUAAAGUUUUAAAACUCUUAA